rnacentral:rRNA from 1 species
UACGUAGGGGGCAAGCGUUGUCCGGAAUCAUUGGGCGUAAAGCGCGCGUAGGCGGCCCGGUAAGUCCGUUGUGAAAGUCAAAGGCUCAACCUUUGAACGCCGAUGGAUACUGCCGGGCUAGAGUCCGGAAGAGGCGAGUGGAAUUCCUGGUGUAGCGGUGGAAUGCGCAGAUAUCAGGAGGAACACCAAUAGCGAAGGCAGCUCACUGGGACGGUAUUGACGCUGAGACGCGAAAGCGUGGGGAGCAAACAGG